rnacentral:rRNA from 1 species
UACCAGCUCUCCGAGUUGUAGGGAUGAUUAUUGGGCUUAAAGCGUCCGUAGCUGGCUUAGCAAGUCUCCUGUUAAAUUCAGCGACCUAAUCGUUGAGCCGCGGGAGAUACUACUAGGCUAGGAGGCGGGAGAGGUCGACGGUACUUUCGGGGUAGGGGUGAAAUCCUAUAAUCCCGGGAGGACCACCAGUGGCGAAGGCUGUCGACUAGAACGCGCUCGACGGUGAGGGACGAAAGCUGGGGGAGCGAACCGGAUUAGAUACCCGGGUAGUCCCAGCUGUAAACUAUGCGGGCUAGGUGUUGGGGUGGCUACGGGCCACUUCAGUGCCGCAGGAAAGCCAUUAAGCCCGCCGCCUGGGGAGUACGGCCGCAAGGCUGAACUUAAAGGAAUUGGCGGGGGAGCACCACAAGGCGUGAAGCUUGCGGUUC